CAGCACCUCAAGUGGUCAGGAUGAUUAUUGGGCCUAAAGCAUCCGUAGCCGGCUCUGUAAGUUUUCGGUUAAAUCUGUAUGCUCAACAUACAGGCUGCCGGGAAUACUGUAGAGCUAGGGAGUGGGAGAGGUAGACGGUACUCGGUAGGAAGGGGUAAAAUCCUUUGAUCUAUUGAUGACCACCUGUGGCGAAGGCGGUCUACCAGAACACGUCCGACGGUGAGGGAUGAAAGCUGGGGGAGCAAACCGGAUUAGAUACCCGAGUAGUCC
rnacentral:rRNA from 1 species